AUUGAACGCUGGCGGCAUGACUUACACAUGCAAGUCGAACGGUAACAGGUCUUCGGAUGCUGACGAGUGGCGAACGGGUGAGUAAUACAUCGGAACGUGCCUAGUAGUGGGGGAUAACUACUCGAAAGAGUGGCUAAUACCGCAUGAGAUCUACGGAUGAAAGCAGGGGGUCGCAAGACCUUGUGCUACUAGAGCGGCCGAUGGCAGAUUAGGUAGUUGGUGGGAUAAAAGCUUACCAAGCCGACGAUCUGUAGCUGGUCUGAGAGGACGAUCAGCCACACUGGGACUGAGACACGGCCCAGACUCCUACGGGAGGCAGCAGUGGGGAAUUUUGGACAAUGGGCGCAAGCCUGAUCCAGCAAUGCCGCGUGCAGGAUGAAGGCCUUCGGGUUGUAAACUGCUUUUGUACGGAACGAAAAGCCCUGGGUUAAUACCCUGGGGUCAUGACGGUACCGUAAGAAUAAGCACCGGCUAACCACGUGCCAGCCGCCGCGGUAA
rnacentral:rRNA from 1 species